rnacentral:lncRNA from 1 species
GGACUGGCGCAGCCUGGAGGGAGGCAUCAGGCAGUGGCGGAAAAGGGGCGGAGAACCGGAGAAAAGGGCGGAGAACCGGAGAAAAGGGCGGAGAACCGGAGAAAAGGGCGGAGAACCGGGAAAAGGGCGGAGAACCGGGAAAAGGUCAAGACCUGUACGUACCUCUCGCGCAGGCUCGGGUUGCGUUCUGGUAGGACGUACGUGUUUCUGAGCGCUUGGUGGAAAGAUUUAAAUGGGGGGAAGAGAAGAUGAAAAGCAGGAAAGAGUUGGCAAAUACUAACCAACCGAUAAAGGAAGAGAAAGGAGGACUGUACAUAACAGAAAUUAUCAUCAGCUGGUGAGGAAAGUGGACUCUACCAUAUUUAAUCCCCAAGUCGACGGGCACUUAUUCAAGGCCCGGAUGUUUAAUCGUUUUUAAUUUUCUCUACAACUUGUGAGAUAAAUCUUAACAUUCUCAUUUGGCUCAGACAUUAAAUUCGGAACUGGUUAGCUCUCUUAACUCCAAAGCCUAAUUAUGUUCUUCUUUCCUCAGCAGACAUCGUAGUUUCAAACAAUUUAGGGAUGUCCUGACAGCUUUAUCCUAAUGGUUAUCCUAAUGGUCCUUGGUGACUUUUUAAACACCCUCUUGGAACAUGUUGGAGGAUGUGCAGAUCGAACAAAAAUCUUGAAACGUGGUCAUCCAACUGCAUUAUUAAGUAAUCUUUAGCGGGGAAUAGCCCUUGAAACUAGCUCCAGAUAUUUCUGUGGUCGCUCUGGAAUAAUUAGACUUUGCCCCUCUCCUCUCACCGCCCACCGUGGGCGCGGUGGCUCACGCUUGUAAUCCCAGCACUUUGGGAGGCGGGUGGAUCACCUGAGGUCAGGAGUUUUAGACCAGCCUGGCCAACGUGGGGAAACCCCGUCUCUACUAAAAUACAAAAAUUAGCUGGGCGUGGUGGCAGGCGCCUGUAAUCCCAGCUACUCGGGAGGCUGAGGCAUGAGAAUCGCUUGAACCCGGGAGGCGGAGCUUGCAGUGAGCCACUGCACUCUGGCCUCAGGGACAGAGCGAGACUCUUGUCUCAAAACAAACAAACAAACAAAAAAUCACAGAGAUAUUCCUGGCAAGGUGAACUGUCAAGUCACAUCCCCAGACCGAUAUAACAAGGUAUACCUCCUUGCUGGUAAAAGUAUUUUCUCUGAGUUGAACUGUUUGCCAAGAAGAGUCUCUUAAAACUCGUGAAAACUAUUCCAGAACUUAAAGUAUUAAAAAAAAAAACUCGUGAAAACACUAUACUAUAAGGUAAAAAUAAUGAUGGAAACACGUUGAAACCUGAUGUGUACAAGGAUAGGGCUUAUGCAAAAAAAAAAAAAUUACCUUUAUUACUUUGUUUUUUUCACACAGAGGGGUAAUGCGCGGAGUCCUAACAAGGUUUGAGGUAGGGGUGGUAACUCACACAAUAGCAUGAAAACCCAAUCAUCAGGCUUAUGAACCACAAAAGGAUCUUAAUACUUUUUUUUUUUAAGUAAGCCUACAGAAGGCAAAAGAAGCUUUAAAAAAACUGAAGUAGUUUUUCUGCAAGAAACAAUUAUGCCGGAAGUGUGGUCAGAGCAGUUCCUAGACAACCAGAAUACUUGGUUACAGCCUUGGCCUAGGCCAAUUUUUCAAGCUGGUUAGAAUAACUAAUCCUUCUGUAUUCAGGUUUCAAGACUUCCAGGAAGACUUUCUUGCACAAAAAAAUAACCUAUUUCAUCUGUAUCGAAGCCCCAAAUUGUAAAAUUGUUUCUUUUCUAUUUUUUUCAAGGUUAGAUUAUAAACUAUUUGAGGCCAGAAAUUGUGUAAUUAGUUGCCCACUUUGUUCAGGAUGCUGCUGUCAGAGGCGAUUGAACCAGAGCAACUCCAUCUUGAAAAGGGGCUGAGUAAAAUAAGCCUGAGGCCUGCUAUGCUGCAUUCCCAGAUGGUUAUGCAUUCUAAGUCACAGGAUGAGAUAGGAGGUCAUAAAGAUACAAGAUACAAGAUGCAUGUCAUAAAGACCUUACUGAUGAAACAGGUAGCAGUAAAGAAGCCGACUAAAACCCACCAAAACCAAGAUGGUGAUGAAAGUGACCUCUGGUCGUCCUCACUGCUAAAUUCCCACCCAGCGCCAUGACAGUUUACAAACGCCAUGGGAAUGUCAGGAAGGUACCCUCUCUGGUCUAAAAAGGGGAGGCAUGAAUAAUCCAUCCCUUGUUUAGCAUAUCAUCAAGAAAUAACCAUAAAAAUGGGCAACGAGUAGCCCUCGGGCUGCUCUGCCUAUGGAGUAGCCAUUCUUUUAUUCCUCUACUUUCUUAAUAAACUUUCUUUCACUUUACUCUAUGGUCUUGUCCUGAAUUCUUCCUUGCUCGAGAUCCAAGAACCCUUUCUUGAUGUCUGGAUCAGGACCCCUUUCCGGUAACACUGCUACACUAGUGCUGAAGAGACAUUGUCCCUCGUUCAUGGAAUUUGCAGUCUAAUGGCAGAGAGAUGGACAAUCUAAUCUUGUAUCUUGUAUAUGAUUACAAAUAGACAUGCUAUGAAGGAAAAGUAAAGGGUGCAAUGAGCAUUUAAGGUGGUGGGAGGCUGAUUUAGUCUAAGGUGCCCUGAGGAAGUGAUCUUUGAGUGAAAUCUGAAGUUUGAGUAGGAGAUAAUUUGUUAAUGGAGUAUUGGGGUGGUGGAAUGUCUCCUAAGCACAGAGUACAGCAUAUGCAAAGGUUCUGAGCUGGUGCAUUGCAAUAACUAAAAGAAGCCAGUGUGGUUAGAGCAGAGGGAGAGAGGUGGUGAGGACCCAGAUCCUAUUUUAAGGACUUGGGUUUUUAUAGUAAGGCUAAUUGGAAAUUACUGAAAGAAUGUAAGAUAAAUAUAAU